CGCGCUGGUGGGCGAAGGUGCCAGAUGCGCGGGAUGCUGCGGCCUUCCUGUCGUGGUCGCCCUUUGACCACAUCAUGGGUCUCGGCCUUGCCGCGCCG
rnacentral:tRNA from 1 species